UCGAAGUGAAUGAAGAAGGCACAGAAGCUGCAGCUGCUUCUGCCGGCGUUAUAAGUGAUAGGAGGAUGCCCAUGACAUUUGUGGCUGAUCGUCCGUUCCUCUUCACGAUCAGGGAAGAAACGACCGGAACAGUUCUGUUCAUCGGUAACCUGCUCAACCCUCUUGCCGGCUGAGUGUUACAAUCCCCUGGGAAAAGGCAUCAUGUGUACGUAGAAUAAUACGAGAGUAUAGUAAAUAAAAUGUAUGAUCCUUGUAUACAUGUGCUAGGUUUGGUUAUUACCUAAUCACCCUGUACUUGCCGCAGUUGGUCUUGUUUCUCCCAUGUGGCGAUUGUUGCUCGUUCUCCCAUGGCGUUUAUCUAUUUGUACAAUCUUGAUUCUGAAUACUUAUUUUAUGUUGUACUCUGUUUGAACAAUUAAAGUUUUAGCC
rnacentral:lncRNA from 1 species